GACGAACGCUGGCGGCGUGCCUAACACAUGCAAGUCGAGCGGAGUCGAUCGACGGAAGCCUUCGGGCGGAAGAUGGUUGACUUAGCGGCGGAUGGGUGAGUAACGCGUGGGCAACCUGCCUCGAAGACCGGGAUAACAGCCCGAAAGGGCUGCUAAUACCGGAUGUGGUCAAGGAUCCGCAUGGAUUUUUGAUUAAAGGGGAAACCCGUUUCGAGAUGGGCCCGCGUCCUAUCAGCUAGUUGGUGAGGUAAAAGCUCACCAAGGCGACGACGGGUAGCCGGCCUGAGAGGGUGACCGGCCACACUGGAACUGAGACACGGUCCAGACUCCUACGGGGGGCAGCAGUGGGGAAUUUUCCACAAUGGGCGAAAGCCUGAUGGAGCGACGCCGCGUGAGCGAAGAAGGCCUUCGGGUUGUAAAGCUCUGUCUGGAGGGACGAAGGAAGUGACGGUACCUCCGGAGGAAGCCACGGCUAACUACGUGCCAGCAGCCGCGGUAAGAUCACGUGUA
rnacentral:rRNA from 1 species